AGGUGAGAGAGAAUGGGUGAGAUAGGAGAGAACAGGUGAGAGAGAAUGGGUGAGAUAGGAGAGCAUUGGUGAGAGAGUAAAUUGAUGAGACAGGAAAGCAUAGGUGUGAAAGAGAAUGUAAGAGCAUAGGUGACAGAAUAAAUGAGAUAGGGGAGCAUAGGUGAGAAGAUAAAUGAGAUAGGAGAUCAUAGGUGAGAAGAUAAAUGAUAUGAGAGAGCAUAGGAGAAAGGAUAAAUGUAAUAGGAGAGCAUAGGUGAGAGGAUAAAUGAGAUAGGAAAGCAUAGGUGAGAGGAUAAAUGAUAUGAGAGAGCAUAGGUGAAAGGAUAAAUGUAAUAGGAGAGCAUAGGUGAGAGGAUAAAUGAGAUAGGAAAGCAUUGGUGAAAG